UAAGGCGCUUCCAGCAAGGGGCUGUGUCUGCAGUGGACUCUGACUGCCCCUCAGUGCUGCGAUUGGAUGUAACAGACGAAGACCAGGCGUCAUCAAGGUCAAUGCGUUCUUCCUGGCUAUGUCUUGACCACCAGGGCUGCUGAUGCCACACACCUGGGAAGAGCGCUCGGCUUAUCAUGCCUGGCAUCACAACGAAGAACAUGGGCAAAAGUUUCAGGUACCCCCCAAGUACAGACCCUCCCUUGGCAUGGGACAGGUUCUUAGCAGCAAGAGACCUCUGCACUAUCACCUAGCACAGAUCAGAAUGCAGGUAUCAAAAAGUGGCAGGGGAUGAGUUUAUAUAGUGUUCCGGAAAGAACUCUUGUGUAUUUGUGUAUAUAAUGUACAUAUACAUACAUAUUAUAAAUGAACUUCUAACACAACAAUGUAGUUAUUUGUCCAAUGGGACAGUUCAAUCACGUUUGUGAAUGGAUAUGGCUGUGUGGCUCACCUGGUCAGUACACCAGACCCACGUGGCCAGCACAGUGAGGCCGAACACCAGGCCUGGCCAGGGUAUGUCCCCCGUCACUGGAUCUCUGAAGAGGUGGAAGGCGUCAGGGCGUGGCAGGUGGCACGUGGUAUUGGGCACCGUGGCAGAGGGCACCGCCGCUGCAUACUGCUCUUGCAGACCCUCGUACCAUCCCACCUUGUCAAAUGCUGUGGGAAGGACACAGCUUGCACAUCAACAUAAAACAUUUCUCCAGAAAUAAAAUAUUUUUCCCCAAUAUCCUGAAAGAUUUAAUGAUGCAAAGCUGCUGAUGUAACUGUACAAUAAUUGUUUAUUACUGUGCAGGAAAAUUGACGGUACCUAUGAACAUGAGAACAAAUGCUCCUAUCACCAUGAUGACAGUCUGUAGGGCGUCUGUGUAGAUGACUGCAGUUAGCCCACCUGAAACACAAACAGGAACGUGUACAUUGGACUCAUCCACUGAAUUGCAAUAAACUCAGUUAUUCCAAACAAACUUCCUACUUGAGAGAGAGGCAGUGUGAAAUGGUCAGCACCUGCUAUGGUAAAGACUGCAGUCACCAGUAGCAACACUGCAGUGGAGAGGUACAGGUCCCAACCGAGAGACACCUGAAUGAACAGAGCUCCAGAGAAGAUGUCUGUCUGAGGGGGCACAAUAAAUUAAAUUUUACUUGACUUGCAAACAGAACUAUAUCUUAGAAUAUGAGAACAUCUUAAAUUUCACCUAAAUCCACAAUGGUCAAUCACAAUUUGCAAUAAACCUGCAUUGUAGUACAAAAUGUUUUAAAAUCCUCUUAAGCAUUUGUCUGGAAUUAAUACACUUAUAACUGCAAUCAAAGCUUUUUCUUCUGGAUUAACCACUGCAAAACAGAUGACACCUGAGUCAGUAUGCUACAUAUUGUUGACCUUUAUGCUCCAAGUGUUGACAUGGUUUGCUAUUUUUGUUUUGUGUGAAGCUUCCUGGAACUCACAAUUUCUAGGUAAGUUAAACUGACGCCAGGCAGUGCUUUUUAGCCUUACCGAUAUCUUGGUGAAAAUGUAGAGGAUGAGAGACAGGACUGAAAUGUAGAUUCGGAUGCGCUGGCCUCCAAACCUCUUCCUCAGAUACUCUGGCAUGGUGACCACGCCAGCAGCGAUGUAAACAGGGACAAAAAUCCAGCCCAGGGCAAUGAGGACCCAGGCUGCCUGAGAAACAGGAAACCUUUCUCAUCUCUCACACACGCAACAAAUUCAGUUUUGGCUGCCUGGCUAUGGAGGACUGUGUAGCAGAAGACAAGAGUCUGCAGGAUGGAGAGCCAGUGCAGUGGAGAUGAACUGAAAGAAGGGAAAGUCCUGUGCCAUAUUCACAGAACUGCUUUGCGACACCAUAGCAGCACACUACUGCUUUUGAAAACUCCAUGUUACACAUUUGAGAUAUUUCAAACAUUUAUCUGUAUGCACGGUUUAGUGUUUGCCAAGGUAAGGCUAAUUAAAUCAAUUGAAUGGAAGUUUCAUUCACGUUCUCCAAUUCCAGGAUAGAAUGUGAUUAAUUUUACUAAGACAAACAAGCCUCUGCCUCUUGAUAAUAUAACUCAGAGCGCUAGAAUUAACCACUAGAGGGCAGACGCCUAAAGGUUUUGAGGGUAAAUGAUAAGCGCUUAGCACUUAUGUAUUAAAAGUCACAAUCAACAAACUUCACCCAUGACCAGCAAAAAAAAUUUUUUUUAAGCCUCAUAAAUUCAGGCCACUAUCUAAUUUGAUACAACGGAAUCUGUUUUCAUAUAUUA